GCCCGGGUGGUGUAGUAGGGCCAGCACGCCAUGAAAUGAACCCUAGCAUUCUGUCGGUUGGAGGGAAAAAACCAGUUGUUCGUCCGAGGCUGAUCGUGGAAGUUCCAAGGUUCGAAUCCUUGGCCGGGCA